rnacentral:lncRNA from 1 species
CGCGCUGUCAGUGCCGACAGUGCCCACUGAAGCCCCAUUCGAGGAACGAGCGGUCGAGGGAGCGGCCCCAUCCGAGGGACAGGCGGCCGAGGAAGCGGCCGAAGAUGUGCCGGCCGCAUAGCCGGCGGGAGAGGUUCGGGCAGAGACACGCGAGCCCAAACGAUCUGCGUCGACGACCGUCGCGGCCUCGGGAGGGACCCAAUUGGGCUCGACCCUCCGCUCUCUUUCUGAUGUCAGGGCCUGGGUGUCCGAA